rnacentral:rRNA from 1 species
GACGAACGCUGGCGGCGUGCUUAACACAUGCAAGUCGAACGGAAAGGCCCUGCUUGCGGGGUACUCGAGUGGCGAACGGGUGAGCAACACGUGGGUGAUCUGCCCUGCACUUCGGGAUAAGCCUGGGAAACUGGGUCUAAUACCGGAUAGGAGCCAUUUUUAGUGUGAUGGUUGGAAAGUUUUUUCGGUGUAGGAUGAGCUCGCGGCCUAUCAGCUUGUUGGUGGGGUAAUGGCCUACCAAGGCGGCGACGGGUAGCCGGCCUGAGAGGGUGGACGGCCACAUUGGGACUGAGAUACGGCCCAGACUCCUACGGGAGGCAGCAGUGGGGAAUAUUGCACAAUGGGCGCAAGCCUGAUGCAGCGACGCCGCGUGGGGGAUGACGGCCUUCGGGUUGUAAAAUCCUUUCGCUAGGGACGAAGCUUUUUGUGACGGUACCUAGAUAAGAAGCCCCGGCUAACUACGUG